rnacentral:rRNA from 1 species
AUGGUCAAACAUAAAAGAAAGUCUGUAACAAUGCAUUCCUUUUUUGAGAAGAAAGCAAGAGUUGAUGCUUCUGUAGAAAAUAAUUUGGGGGCCAGCCCUCACUUGGUGGAUGAACAAGAACCAGCGGUAGAAGAAGAAAUUGCAACAUCAACACCGCCUGAGGUUCAGAGAGAGGGAGGGAACGAUGAUGCUUCUGUUCUGAUAGUAGAAAGGGAUCCGGGUUUGCGAUGCCAAAUUUGGGAUUAUCCUCCUAAUGCUCAAGAACAAGAUCGUAAUGCAUAUAUGAAGCAUGGAGCAUAUCAGAUUGAAAUGGAUGAGUACCCUCUUGACGAUUCAGUAGUCCAUCAACGCAAGUUUCAGUAUCAUUGGUUUAAAUCCUUCCCUUGGUUGGAAUAUUCACCAUUGAAAGAUGCAGUCUAUUGUUUUCCAUGCUUUUUGUUUUAUAAGAAGCCACUUGGAAAAAGGGUCUAA